rnacentral:rRNA from 1 species
UACGAAGGGGGCUAGCGUUGCUCGAAUCACUGGGCGUAAAGCGCACGUAGGCGGCUUCUUAAGUCAGGGGUGAAAUCCUGGAGCUCAACUCCAGAACUGCCUUUUGAUACUGAGUAGCUUGAGUCCGGGAGAGGUGAGUGGAACUGCGAGUGUAGAGGUGAAAUUCGUAGAUAUUCGCAAGAACACCAGUGGCGAAGGCGGCUCACUGGCCCGGUACUGACGCUGAGGUGCGAAAGCGGUGGGGAGCAAACAGG